UAGCCGUAAACGAUACUCGCUAGGUGUCGGCCACGGUGCGACCGUUGUCGGUGCCGUAGGGAAGCCGUGAAGCGAGCCACCUGGGAAGUACGGCCGCAAGGCUGAAACUUAAAGGAAUUGGCGGGGGAGCACCACAACGGGUGGAGCUUGCGGUUUAAUUGGGUUCAACGCCGGAAAUCUUACCGGGACCGACAGCAACAUGAAGGCCAGGCUGAAGACUUUGCCGGAUUAGCUGAGAGGUGGUGCAUGGCGUAGUCGUGU
rnacentral:rRNA from 1 species